rnacentral:rRNA from 1 species
GCGUUGUUCGGAUUUACUGGGCGUAAAGGGCGCGUAGGCGGCGUGACAAGUCACUUGUGAAAUCUCCGGGCUUAACUCGGAACGGCCAAGUGAUACUGUCGUGCUAGAGUGCAGAAGGGGCAAUCGGAAUUCUUGGUGUAGCGGAGAAAUGCGUAGAUAUCAAGAGGAACACCAGAGGCGAAGGCGGAUUGCUGGGCUGACACUGACGCUGAGGCGCGAAAGCUAG